UUUUAAAAAUACUUAAUUAUAUAUAUAAAGAUACAAAGGUAUUUCUGUAAAAAAAAAUUGAUUAUCAAUUUUUUUUUAUUGCAGGUAUUGAUUAUAAUUAUAGUUGUGAUAAAAUAUAAAUUAGUUAUCUUCAUGUACUAAAGUUUUUAUAAAACAUACAUCACAUAUUAUUUUUUUAAUUUUUAAAAAAAAUCACCUUUUUUAUUUUAAAAUGGAGACUAAUAUAUGAAUUGGAUAAUUACAUGGCAGCUUUGUAAUAUCCUUGAUCUAACUCUAGUAUAUCAUAUUUUUUGGAAG
rnacentral:lncRNA from 1 species